rnacentral:rRNA from 1 species
AACGCGAAGAACCUUACCAGGCCUUGACAUCAUCUAGAAGGCUGUGGAAACACAGCUGUCCUUUGGACUGGAUGACAGGUGGUGCAUGGUCGUCGUCAGCUCGUGUCGUGAGAUGUUGGGUUAAGUCCCGCAACGAGCGCAACCCUUGCCUUUAGUUGCCAGCAUUAAGUUGGGGACUCUAAAGGGACUGCCGGUGACAAAUCGGAGGAAGGUGGGGAUGACGUCAGAUCAUCAUGCCCCUUAUGGUCUGGGCUACACACGUGCUACAACGGGUGGUACAGAGGGCAGCGAAGCCGUGAGGCGGAGCGAAUCCCAGAAAGCCACUCUCAGUUCGGAUUGUAGUCUGCAACUCGACUACAUGAAGUCGGAAUCGCUAGUAAUCGUGGAUCAGCAUGCCACGGUGAAUACGUUCCCGGGUCUUGUACACACCG